AGUGGAAUUGCUGGGUUGUAUGGUAAUUCUACGUUUAACCUUUUGAAGAACUGCCAGACUAUCUUCCAAAAUGACUGCACCGUCGUGUAUCUCCACCAAGCAGU
rnacentral:pre_miRNA from 1 species